rnacentral:rRNA from 1 species
AUUGAUGUAUUCAACAAGUUUAUAGCCUUGGCCAACAGGUCCGGGUAAUCUUUGAAAUUUCAUCGUGAUGGGGAUAGAUCAUUGUAAUUGUUGGUCUUCAAU